rnacentral:rRNA from 1 species
UGUGAGCUCGAUGAGUAGGGCGGGACACGUGGUAUCCUGUCUGAAUAUGGGGGGACCAUCCUCCAAGGCUAAAUACUCCUGACUGACCGAUAGUGAACCAGUACCGUGAGGGAAAGGCGAAAAGAACCCCGGCGAGGGGAGUGAAAAAGAACCUGAAACCGUGUACGUACAAGCAGUGGGAGCACGCUUAGGCGUGUGACUGCGUACCUUUUGUAUAAUGGGUCAGCGACUUAUAUUCUGUAGCAAGGUUAACCGAAUAGGGGAGCCGAAGGGAAACCGAGUCUUAACUGGGCGUUAAGUUGCAGGGUAUAGACCCGAAACCCGGUGAUCUAGCCAUGGGCAGGUUGAAGGUUGGGUAACACUAACUGGAGGACCGAACCGACUAAUGUUGAAAAAUUAGCGGAUGACUUGUGGCUGGGGGUGAAAGGCCAAUCAAACCGGGAGAUAGCUGGUUCUCCCCGAAAGCUAUUUAGGUAGCGCCUCGUGAAUUCAUCUCCGGGGGUAGAGCACUGUUUCGGCAAGGGGGUCAUCCCGACUUACCAACCCGAUGCAAACUGCGAAUACCGGAGAAUGUUAUCACGGGAGACACACGGCGGGUGCUAACGUCCGUCGUGAAGAGGGAAACAACCCAGACCGCCAGCUAAGGUCCCAAAGUCAUGGUUAAGUGGGAAACGAUGUGGGAAGGCCCAGACAGCCAGUAUGUUGGCUUAGAAGCAGCCAUCAUUUAAAGAAAGCGUAAUAGCUCAUUGGUCGAGUCGGCCUGCGCGGAAGAUGUAACGGGGCUAAACCAUGCACCGAAGCUGCGGCAGCGACGCUUAUGCGUUGUUGGGUAGGGGAGCGUUCUGUAAGCCUGCGAAGGUGUGCUGUGAGGCAUGCUGGAGGUAUCAGAAGUGCGAAUGCUGACAUAAGUAACGAUAAAGCGGGUGAAAAGCCCGCUCGCCGGAAGACCAAGGGUUCCUGUCCAACGUUAAUCGGGGCAGGGUGAGUCGACCCCUAAGGCGAGGCCGAAAGGCGUAGUCGAUGGGAAACAGGUUAAUAUUCCUGUACUUGGUGUUACUGCGAAGGGGGGACGGAGAAGGCUAUGUUGGCCGGGCGACGGUUGUCCCGGUUUAAGCGUGUAGGCUGGUUUUCCAGGCAAAUCCGGAAAAUCAAGGCUGAGGCGUGAUGACGAGGCACUACGGUGCUGAAGCAACAAAUGCCAUGCUUCCAGGAAAAGCCUCUAAGCAUCAGGUAACAUCAAAUCGUACCCCAAACCGACACAGGUGGUCAGGUAGAGAAUACCAAGGCGCUUGAGAGAACUCGGGUGAAGGAACUAGGCAAAAUGGUGCCGUAACUUCGGGAGAAGGCACGCUGAUAUGUAGGUGAAGCGACUUGCUCGUGGAGCUGAAAUCAGUCGAAGAUACCAGCUGGCUGCAACUGUUUAUUAAAAACACAGCACUGUGCAAACACGAAAGUGGACGUAUACGGUGUGACGCCUGCCCGGUGCCGGAAGGUUAAUUGAUGGGGUCAGCGCAAGCGAAGCUCUUGAUCGAAGCCCCGGUAAACGGCGGCCGUAACUAUAACGGUCCUAAGGUAGCGAAAUUCCUUGUCGGGUAAGUUCCGACCUGCACGAAUGGCGUAAUGAUGGCCAGGCUGUCUCCACCCGAGACUCAGUGAAAUUGAACUCGCUGUGAAGAUGCAGUGUACCCGCGGCAAGACGGAAAGACCCCGUGAACCUUUACUAUAGCUUGACACUGAACAUUGAGCCUUGAUGUGUAGGAUAGGUGGGAGGCUUUGAAGUGUGGACGCCAGUCUGCAUGGAGCCGACCUUGAAAUACCACCCUUUAAUGUUUGAUGUUCUAACGUUGACCCGUAAUCCGGGUUGCGGACAGUGUCUGGUGGGUAGUUUGACUGGGGCGGUCUCCUCCUAAAGAGUAACGGAGGAGCACGAAGGUUGGCUAAUCCUGGUCGGACAUCAGGAGGUUAGUGCAAUGGCAUAAGCCAGCUUGACUGCGAGCGUGACGGCGCGAGCAGGUGCGAAAGCAGGUCAUAGUGAUCCGGUGGUUCUGAAUGGAAGGGCCAUCGCUCAACGGAUAAAAGGUACUCCGGGGAUAACAGGCUGAUACCGCCCAAGAGUUCAUAUCGACGGCGGUGUUUGGCACCUCGAUGUCGGCUCAUCACAUCCUGGGGCUGAAGUAGGUCCCAAGGGUAUGGCUGUUCGCCAUUUAAAGUGGUACGCGAGCUGGGUUUAGAACGUCGUGAGACAGUUCGGUCCCUAUCUGCCGUGGGCGCUGGAGAACUGAGGGGGGCUGCUCCUAGUACGAGAGGACCGGAGUGGACGCAUCACUGGUGUUCGGGUUGUCAUGCCAAUGGCACUGCCCGGUAGCUAAAUGCGGAAGAGAUAAGUGCUGAAAGCAUCUAAGCACGAAACUUGCCCCGAGAUGAGUUCUCCCUGACUCCUUGAGAGUCCUGAAGGAACGUUGAAGACGACGACGUUGAUAGGCCGGGUGUGUAAGCGCAGUGAUGCGUUGAGCUAACCGGUACUAAUGAACCGUGAGGCUUAACC